rnacentral:rRNA from 1 species
AUUGAACGCUGGCGGCAGGCCUAACACAUGCAAGUCGAGCGGCAGCGGAAAGUAGCUUGCUACUUUGCCGGCGAGCGGCGGACGGGUGAGUAAUGUCUGGGAAACUGCCUGAUGGAGGGGGAUAACUACUGGAAACGGUAGCUAAUACCGCAUAACGUCGCAAGACCAAAGAGGGGGACCUUCGGGCCUCUUGCCAUCAGAUGUGCCCAGAUGGGAUUAGCUAGUAGGUGGGGUAACGGCUCACCUAGGCGACGAUCCCUAGCUGGUCUGAGGGGAUGACCAGCCAGACUGGGACUGAGACACGGUCCAGACUCCUACGGGAGGCAGCAGUGGGGAAUAUUGCACAAUGGGCGCAAGCCUGAUGCAGCCAUGCCGCGUGUAUGAAGAAGGCCUUCGGGUUGUAAAGUACUUUCAGCGGGGAGGAAGGUGUUGAGGUUAAUAACCUCAGCAAUUGACGUUACCCGCAGAAGAAGCACCGGCUAACUCCGUGCCAGCCGCCGCAGUAAAAC